UCUCAGCUGGAGUCAGUUGGAGAGGGAAGAUCAGGAGAGAAAGGAGAGGAUACCCAGUAAAUACUGCUGAACCUUCCUGUGUGCCCUAGCCCUGCGUGUCUCGCACGCGCUGUCUUACCACCAUGAUGUCUAACAGAGUGCUGGGCAGUGCUAUGAGAUAGGUGGGUCCCAGCUCCCAGUCUUACCUGAUGCAACUGCUAUCCAUGCUCUCUACUUGGCAAACUACAGAGAUCUAGAAACCAAGUUUCUUAAAUGAGUCAGGAGACCCAGGAUCGCUUUAGGUUCUGCCUCUAGCUGAACCCGCCCAGCCAGGACUUGAGAGCCCUGGAAAUUUCUAUUACUAUUUUCUUAAUUUUUUUCAGCAAAGAAAACAAAGACCCAAACUGAGAGACUAACCAGUGCUCUGUUUGCAAACAAGCAUCAGAACCUGGGUCUUUUGGUUUCUACUUUAACAUUUUUUUACAUUUCAGUUUAGUACUCUGUUUGGUUUUUAAUUAAAAUUUCAUUUUGAUUUUUAUUUGAUUUUUUUUUGAAAGUCAGGUAUGGUGAUAUACAUUAUACUCUUGCACUCUAGAAGCUAAAGCAGAUAGACCAGGAGUUUGAGGCCAGCCUGGUCUAUCUCCAAAACUGAACCAAACCAAAAAGCUGAACAGAUUGACAGUAGUUGCUGCAGGCAGUUUGAGCCCUGCACCCAGCUUCUAACAAACACACUUUCCAUAACAGCAGCACAGCACCGCCCACGACUGGACGUGGUAGCACCACUGGCCCGGCCCUGGACUGAGUGAAAAGGAGACUGAGCUGCACACCAGCGCCCCUGUAGAUGCUGCGGCAACUGCGAAGCGAGAUUGCAUCACUGUCAUAAUAGCCAGACCUCUGUCCUACCCAGUGCCAGCUCCUUGGAGGCAACAAGGUCUAGUCUGUGACACAGAGUAACGUGAAAGGCAAUGAUGGCAUCAUUGAGGAACUAGCAACACCCUGUUUCGUGGACCUGGCUGCCUGUGGUUUGAAAACAGCUGGUGCCUACAUCUACUGCAAAGACCACCAAAGUGAAGGAAUCCAGAUUUUAAGCCUGGCAACCAAGACAGACAGCAAGAUGGUGGCACUCUGCUAUGUGUAGGUGAUGAGAGCAUGGGUGAUUUAAGCUUGUUUCUACACAGAUCUAUAACUUUUAUAUAGUAAGUAUGGAUAAUAUUUACUAAUAAUGGGGAAAACAAGUCUCUUAUUGCCUUGAUUUUUUAAAAAAAAAUGCCCAGUAUAUAUUAGUAGAAUAUCAAAUACAAGACAGUAUCUAAUUCUUAGAAUCUUUGGUCAUUCUAAAGGCCCCAGAGCAAUGGCAAACCUUGCCAGAGCAGUGAUCCAUCCUGUACUAGAAAGAACAACUCAUGUAUGUUCUCCAGAAUAUUUAAGAUGGUCCUUAGAUGUUUUCUGACUUGACACCUACUGAAUGAAUGAAAAGAAAAUGAGUUACUACCAGAAACCGGGUUCUUUGUUUGCUAGAGCUAGCUAGCCACGAAGGGAAACCUGAAGGUAACAACAGCAAGCCUCGUGUCUCAGGCAUGGGUCACACUCACCG